rnacentral:rRNA from 1 species
UACGUAGGGUGCAAGCGUUAAUCGGAAUUACUGGGCGUAAAGCGCACGUAGGCGGAUAUUUAAGUCAGGGGUGAAAUCCUGGAGCUCAACUCCAGAACUGCCUUUGAUACUGGGUAUCUAGAGUCCGGAAGAGGUGAGUGGAACUCCUAGUGUAGAGGUGGAAUUCGUAGAUAUUAGGAAGAACACCAGUGGCGAAGGCGGCUCACUGGUCCGGUACUGACGCUGAGGUGCGAAAGCGUGGGGAGCAAACAGG